AUUAACAACCACACAGGAAGUAGUCAAAAAAAUAUCAAACAGUCACACAGAGACAUUUAAUAACCGGAAAAAAUAACAGCAAGUAAACAGACAGAGACGUUUGGACGUCAAAACGUGCAGGAAAACGUUGGAUCAUUCUUUUCAUGGAGAUGAGCAACUGGGACCAUUCUGGUCCUUUGGAUGCCAGUAUGGACUAUUAUUGGGAGGGUGACGCCCCAACACUUGGAGCCGGAGUGCCACAUCUCACUUCUCUCCCGGGUCCCUACGAGUAGCGUCAUUCCGGAGGAAGAGGCACAAUGACGGGCACCGUCGAGGGAAUUGAGAAGUUUGAGAGUCCGGGAAAAGGGCGAGGUCUCCGCGUUACCAGACCCUUUAAGGUUGGAGAGCUCCUGUUUUCCAGCCAGGCGUACUCUUACGUGUUGUCAGUAAAGGAGAGAGGCUGCUACUGUGAGUGCUGCUUCGCCAGGAAAAAAGGUUUGGCAAGAUGUGGAAAGUGCAAGAAAGCCUUCUACUGCAAUGUGAAAUGCCAGAAAGGGGACUGGGCCAUGCAUAAGCUGGAAUGCUCUGCAAUGACUGCGUUCGGAGAGAACUGGUGCCCGUCGGAGAUGUCUCGCCUGGUGGCCCGGAUCCUCGCCAAGAAGAAAACGCAGAAAGAAAGAUGCGCUUCUGAGAAGAUCUUGCUCAUAGGAGAGAUGCAGUCACACGUGGAGGAUGUCGAUAAUGAGAAAAGGGAGAAGCACGAAGCAGAUGUUGCAGGACUGCAUCGUUUUUUCUCCAAACACUUGGAGUUGCCCGACCAUGAAGAACUGCUCACACUCUUCUCCCAGGUUGCCUGUAAUGGUUUCACUAUAGAGGAUGAUGAAUUGUACCACUUGGGUACUGCAGUCUAUCCAGAUGUGGCACUGAUAAACCACAGCUGUCUUCCCAGUGUCAUAGUCACGUAUAACGGGACGUCGGCUGAUGUUCGGGCGGUGCAGGACAUGAAGACUGGAGAUGAAGUGCUCAUUAGCUACAUAGACCUCCUGUAUCCAGCAGACGACCGCAACAACAGGCUGAGAGAGUCCUAUUACUUCACCUGCCAAUGCCAGGAAUGUAAAAGCAAGUCCAUGGACAAGGCAAAGUUGAAAGUACGCAAGCAGAGUGACCCUAUCGAGCCAGAAGUCAUCAACAACAUGGUGCGCUACGCCAGGAAAGCCAUCAGAGAAUUUCGGGCCUUCAAACACAUAAAAACCCCUAGUGAGUUACUGGAGAUGUGUGAGCAGAGCCUGGAGGAGAUGGGAGCCGUCUUCGAUGACUCCAAUGUCUACAUGCUCCACAUGAUGUACCAGGCCAUGGGGGUUUGUCUCUACAUGGAAGAUCCAGAAGAAGCUGUCAGAUACGGGGAGAACAUCAUCGCACAUUACAGAAAGCUGUAUCCAGCCUACUCUUUAAACGUGUCCUCCUUGUACCUGAAGUUGGGCAGACUGUACAUCGGUCUCGAGAGGCACUCGAUGGGCAUCAGCGCUCUCAAGAAGUGAUCCUGUGUCUGUCGUUCAGUCCUCAUUUGAAGUACCGCUGUAAUCAUGUGGUGCCGUUCUGCCAGGCCAUGUUGGGUCAAGGGGCUCAGAUGAGGCGGGAGUUCUUGAGGAACUGGAUGAGGACCUGGUAGACAAACUUGUACUGGGAAAUGGUCUGCACCAUCAGCAUCCUCUGCUGCCUCAGCCCUGACAACAUGGUGGGAACCUCCACUGGCUGAAAGAGAGGGAAGAAGAGACAAAUGGCAGCUGAUCAUGAGCUCAGUGAGGAUGACCACUCCGGUGCGACCCACCCCGGCGCUACAGUGCACCACCACAGGUGGAUUGAGACUCUUUGAGGUGUCCAGCAUGGAGUUGGUGUGUCUCCUCACAGACUGGAUCUCCUCUAGGUAGGCUGCAGGAAAGAAGAUGGAGUAAAAGGUGAUGAUGAUAUUGACGACACAGUCCCACUCACCAAGGAAUCCCUGGACGUAUUCGGGACAGCCCUGCUCAGGCCAGUCAGUGUACUGCAGGUGCCAGACCGUCCUCUCCUGGCCAGACAGCAGGUGUUUGACCUUUAACCCCGUGGUUGCAUAGCAGCCUGAGUCGGUGCGGAAUUUGGUGGUCACCUUGAACUUUCCGUGAGUGGCCGAGUUGUGUUUGGAGCCCAGUUUGGGCCAGUAGCGGUGACUCUUGGACCUGCCGCCCUCCUGAUUGAUGUAUGAGGACGGAUCGGAGAUUGGAGGGAAAGAAAAGAAGAGAAGAGAAGAAGGGGAUGAGGGAAAACAAACGUACACAGAAGUGAAACUCGCCGUUGUGCUAUUUCUCACACAUGCAGACAGACGCCAGCUGUCUGUCGCUGAAAAAUAUCCACAUCUGUGUGUGCCGUGUGUGUGCGCGUACCUCCUCAGCAGUAACCAUGGCGAUGACGUUGACCCCCUGCUCCCACACCAUCUGCCAGAAGUCGGCACAGGUGUUGGCAAGCGGGCCCUGGGUGGCAAUGUAGUGCCACUCCUCCCCUCUGAUCAUCACCUGGGAAAACACACAAAGAAUCAAUUAGUGCACACUGAAAUUACAGUGACUUUACUGCAAACAAGAAUCAGCCUGCACAUGGCUAACUCUGUCGCUCAUUCACACCCACAUUUAAAUUAAAUAGAAACUCACACUUAAGCCAGAUAUGAAUUUAUAAAUGUAUUAAAUGCGAACAGCUAAUCUACACAACUGAUGAUAAUCUUCUCCACCACUGGAGGGCAGUAUAAACAAAAUGUUCAUCCACAGUUUGAGUCUUGCCUUUCAUUUAUAAAACUAUCAAGCCCUCUUCUUUAGCUUUCUUCUGCUUUUCCUCAUUAAUAAUCAUGAGGGAUCACAACAGCACUGAAAGUUUCCCAUCUUCAACACACUCCAGCCACACAGACUUCAGAGUGGCAUUACAUAAUGAGCAUGUCCCAGCUAAUACCUCAGGCCACCUUGUGACUGUAAACACUGUAUUAAGAGAUGGAUGGAGAAUCAACAAGGCCUUUUGUUCUGCGGCAGCUACCUUAAAUGACAGGGUAAGUAUAAGAGGGUUACACCGUGAUAGGCAGCGACUCAGCGCCACUUUGGUGAUUGCACUCGUGCAUCGGACCGCAAUUUGGCGCACACACGAAAUGCAAACUCAUGCAUACACACAAGCUUGUGCAUGAAUAGAAGGGCUAGUGAGAGCAGCUCAGGUUGACUUAAGAGGGCUUGGAGUUUGGACCACAUUCUUUGGGAAUUCCACAAGCUCUGUGAGCUUAAAGGCCCAAACAGCCUGCAACAGCCGUCUUUCAUCCUUUCCUCAGAGACAUUCGCUGCUUAGGAAUGACCACAACAAAGACUAGCAGAGAGAUGAAUGUAUCAAGUUUAUGCUUUUUUUGUUUUAAUUGAUGUCGUAUGAUGUGGGUGUUUGCAAAGCACUUUGAGACUGUAACUAAGAACCAUGUGCAUAGACUUGAAUCUCAUAAAACACUUCAAAUGUGUUUCACCAGCCAAACAUUCUUCAUUUAUUUAUUAGUUCAAACUGAAUGCUUAAGAAUGAUUAAGUCUGAUUUAAAAUCUGGGCUGUCAUGUUGACACACUUAACAUUUAAUGUUGUGGGAUGUUAUAAACUGGAAAAAAAAAAAUCAGAAAUAUCCCAAAAGUUUUCACACUUGGCUGUUGGUGGAAAGGCUGGUAUAUCAAUAAAGUUUAACAGAAGCAGAGUUAGUAAAUACAUUGCGAUGCACAUGAAGCACAUUAAACGUUUCCACCUCACUGUAGAGUUUAAAUAUUUGCAGCGGGUGAG